rnacentral:rRNA from 1 species
GAUGAACGCUGGCGGCGUGCCUAAUACAUGCAAGUCGAGCGAACGGACGAGAAGCUUGCUUCUCUGAUGUUAGCGGCGGACGGGUGCGUAACACGUGGAUAACCUACCUAUAAGACUGGGAUAACUUCGGGAAACCGGAGCUAAUACCGGAUAAUAUUUUGAACCGCAUGGUUCAAAAGUGAAAGACGGUCUUGCUGUCACUUAUAGAUGGAUCCGCGCUGCAUUAGCUAGUUGGUAAGGUAACGGCUUACCAAGGCAACGAUGCAUAGCCGACCUGAGCGGGUGGUCGGCCACACUGGAACUGAGACACGGUCCAGACUCCUACGGGAGGCAGCAGUAGGGAAUCUUCCGCAAUGGGCGAAAGCCUGACGGAGCAACACCGCGUGAGUGAUGAAGGUCUUCGGAUCGUAAAACUCUGUUAUUAGGGAAGAACAUAUGUGUAAGUAACUGUGCACAUCUUGACGGUACCUAAUCAGAAAGCCACGGCUAACUACGUG